GAGGCCGCGUCCUCAGCUGGUCCUAGACAUGCGUGGCGUCGGGGCUGUGGCACGGUCGGGUCCGGGGACACUUGUUUAACAAGACAUCUGCCCAUGUCCCUGGCCCAUCUCAUUGGCUGCAGCACAUCACAGUGGACCUUCUGCCUCCUCCCAGAUGCCCAGGGACAGUGAUCUGGAAGGAAGGGGCUUGAGGCUGUUUUCCUAGAACUCGAGUGGUAACUUCUGAGCUGACAUCUGAAGGAUGAGGAAAAUCCAGCGAGGCAAAGAGCUUAAGGAAGAACAUUCCAGUCAAAGGAACCAGGCAGAGUUUUUCUGAUAGGAAGUGAAAGGCCUAGUGACACCCCAUGUUUCUUUCUGUUUAUGUUCCAAGCUGGGAUUUGAACAUGAAUUUACACCCUUAUAUCAGGCUAUUGGGUG
rnacentral:lncRNA from 10 species